GACAAUAAAAACUAGUUAAUUAGUUCGGUUUGUAUUAUUUAAUUUUUAAUAGUUUAGAUUUUAAAUUAUUUGGUGAAAUAUUAAUUUAUGUUUUAACUAGGGUUGAUGAUAAUAUUCGAAAGUUUUGAUUUAAACUA
rnacentral:rRNA from 1 species